AUCUAUUAAUAGUGAGCAAGUGUUUUCGUUCGAAGUGUUGUUGACAUCAGUCACGAUGUUUCGGGUUAGCAAAUCGAUGCCAAAGUCAAAUGAUUCCCUGAAAGACAAAAUGGAAACUGCGAAGCUAGCGGGAUACAAUAUUUUACCGAGCAGGGAGUCGGCGAAGACAGCAGUGUUGGUAGCAAAGACAGUGUGUCUGACCGUGUUCAUCAUCUACGUUGCAGUGCCCAUCUUUGUCAGAGCCAACUCUUGGAUUUUGCCAAAGGUUGUUUUCUCUAAUCUCGUUCGCUGGCCUCCAUUUAUCGAUUUGUCCAAGCCAUCAGACUUUGGUCUGAAUUCAACCCGGAACUUCUACCUCCAAACAGACAAUGGCAUUCAUGUUGGAGUUUGGCACACUCUACCAUCGAGCCUGGUGCAGGAUGGGAGUCCCGCAGAUCCUUAUGAGUAUGAACAAUUGCUGAAAUCUGGGAAGAGGAUUAUUCUGUAUCUCCAUGGCAACAGUGGAACAAGAGGGGGAUUUCAUAGAGUACAGCUGUACAAACUACUGGCCGGCUUGGACUUCCAUAUCAUCACUUUUGACUACAGAGGUUUCGGUGACUCCACUGGCACACCCACAGAGGACGGGGUCGUCCACGACUCCCACUUCAUGUACCGGUGGAUCAAGGAGAGGAACAAUGGAGAGCCCAUCUUCCUCUGGGGUCACUCUCUUGGCACAGCAAUAACUACAAAGUUAGCAAAGAAGCUCUGUGAACUGGAUGACCAUCCACCCGGCAUCAUCCUAGAGGCCCCCUUUAACAACAUUCGAGAAGCUGCCGCCAACCACCCUUUUGCCCUGCCCUACCGCCUUCUGCCAUGGUUCACCUGGGUUUUCGUGGAUGGCAUCAAGGAAAAUGGAAUCCACUUCAGCACGGAUGAAAAUAUUCGGAGUGUGAGUCCCCCGAUUCUGAUUCUUCAUGCUGAAGAUGACGCUGUAGUGCCAUUCCAUCUUGGAGAGAAGCUGUAUGAACAUGCCAAACAGUCCAAGCCGGAUCACCAUGCUGGUGUGGAGUUCAAGCGCUUUCCUAGUCACCAUGGUUACGGACAUAAACACAUUUUCAAGUCACCAGAACUGCCAGAGAUUGUCAGAUCUUUUGUUCACAAGGCCCUGGAGAAGAAGAAAUAAUUAAGACGUUGCUAAACCUUUACCUUCAACCUCAGGGAAUCAGAGAUGAUUAUCAUUCCAAAAUGUGGAAUAUAUGGAAUAUGUACUGCUGUUAAUAUUGUGAUACACAAACUUUAUUCUUGAUCCUGUAGUCAUAUUGACAGAGAGCAUUCUCUUACAAAUUUGGAAGAAUUCCUGCUGUUUUGGUUUUUGCUGAUAUUUUGAAACUACUGUAUGUAUGGCCCUAGUGGUCUUCAGUUCUGCGACUCACUGUACAGAGUUACUUCCCUUUACCAGUUUUUGUCUCAUUGGGAACCUUUGUAUGUCAAGACUAGAUCUUUUCUUAUUGGCUUCUGAGAAGUUAAUAGCUAAAACAUUGAGACAUUCUCCUGUACAUCUGACACACUGUCCUUAUUGGUACAAGUUACUACAACUAAAAUAUUGUUAAAUACACCUCACAAACUAGUGCCAGCUUGCAAGUUCUGAAAAUUGGGAUUUGUAAAAUUAAAACAUGCAUGCUUGCUUUGUUUGCAUGGCUAUAUCAGAUUAUAAAAUUGAUGAUAGGCGUUUAUUUUUUAAAGAUCUUAUGUUAAUGAACUAUAUGAACUUCUUUAGGCAAGAUAUGUAACCGGUGGUCAUCAAGGAAUUCCAGUAUAAAAUAUUUGCAUACUUGGGUGGUAUUGUGCUUGUGGUAUUAUAACAUACAGAUAUGGAACCAAGACCUCAUUAAUGAAGAUGCAUCUUUGGUUCCAUUCACAGUAGUGAGAAAUAAGAAAAUCUUGUUGUAGAUCUUAAAUAACAUAACAUUCAUGAAAUAGCCUCUUGCAAAUAACAGCAGAACAUUAUUUAUUCAACUUAGUUUGAACAGAAAAAUAUCAUGUAUGAUUUUUCAUCAUAAGCAAUGAUUUUUUCAGUUGAUCUCAAAAGUUUAGAGUUUUAAGACUCAAAUAAGUCUUGAUGAUAGAUAUAUACAUUUCAGUUUUAGAUAACUAGUAAUUAGAUUUUUUAAUGGAUGGAUUGUUUGUUUGUACAGUUAAUCUUAUGUCAGGAGGUUGCAUGGUAUUUUUAAACUUAAAAGAAAAUUUGUUUACUGUUGUUUAGGAAAUAGUUUUUUAGCACUUACCGGUAUUUAUGUUGUGUGUUUAAUUUGUGCAUUUCAUAUACCUUCUGCAAGAGUUUACAGGAUACCAAUGACUUUUAUGGCCUCCUUGGCUUGUUCAUGGUGUGUUGAUUUGAGUGGCUUUAUGCAUUUGAAGGUUUUAUUAAUGUAAAUUAUUAUAUUAGGUAAGCAUUUAUACACAGGACUACAUUAUGUUUGUUAUCACUUUCUGUAUUUGGAGUAAGGAAAGCUUCAAUACCUAGUGGGCUUGGUGUUCAAAAUCUCACCCUUAACACUCACAUGCCCUUAACAUUAAAAAAUCCUUAUUUUGCCUUUUUGUCAACUUUUGCUUACAAUUCCUGCACCAAGAUGGUUAUAUGUAGUUUUCUGAUGAACUGACCUUUCCAAUAGUGCUGGACUCUGCAACAAGAUUGUCCUCUUGAAAUGUGUUCUUGGAACUGCUGUGUCGAUUUUUUCACUCAGUUCGUGAUAUUGUAUCAGUUCUACAAACAUAUGUAUCUGAGUCGAAAUUGAAGGUGGAAUCCUUUUUUAUGACGGUUAUAUAGAGGAUGGCAUAAACAUGUUACUAAGGUUCAUGAAUAGUUAUACUGGUCAGUCAUGUCAAAGUUAUACAUGGCCAGUAGUCUGUGUUUUUUCGAGAAUAGCUAAUACUUUGAUGGACUGUUUAUGUUAAAUUGAUGACAACUCUGAAUGAUCUGAGGACCUAGAUGUAACUAGUUGUGUCCAAUCCUAGCCUGUCAUCCUUAAACUUGUAUGUCAAAGUGAAAUGGUUCAAUCAUGACAUUCUGGGCACUAUUUGCCAUGGUGCGGGGCUCCCCAUCCUGACAAUAUUGGUUUGAGUCUACCCCACUAGACACUGUCCCCUAGGGACAAUGUAUGUAUUGUUGUGGGAGUGUCUUGAAUCAUAUUUGUCCUGUUGCACUAUCUAACCCUUUGUUCUUGAGUUGAUACCCAAUUACUGCUUAUGUUAUACUGGUAUCAAUUUAACCUAACCUGGAGCAAUAGCCAUUGGCCUCUUCCUUACACACUACUGUAAAUACAUCCUUAUAACAUAUUUAUAUGUGUGUUGUUUCAGUGCCUUGAACACGGAAGAGAGUUAUCUGUAUUUUGCAUAGAGCUGUGUUAUAUCUCUGGAGCAUAAUAACCACAUUUAUUCAGUGAAUUUAUUAUCUUAUGACAAGCAAACGCUUUAACCACUAGGCUACCCCACUACCCCCAAGGUGGGUAGGGACAAGAAACAAACUAUUACUGGUAGUGGUCAAGCUGUGUGAAGGGCUUUGUGGUGCCAAGUUUGUGUCUCAGCAGGUCUCUGAGAGAAGUGUAUGUUUGUGUAACAUUGAACAUGUACUAGGAUAGUUUGAAACAUGGAAAGAGGAAAUAAAAUAAAUGCUGUGUCUUGGAGACAUGGUAUUGAAUCUCUUGAUAUUUUGAGGCCUUUGAGAUAAUCGUCGGCUGUUUACAUGGUUUGUUCAAUAAAUGUUGUCAGUUUGAUUAUUAGAUCUGACAUGUUGUUUGGGUACAGAGGAGACGGGUAGAAGUACAUAUUCAAGACAAAGGACAUGGAAGAGAUUACCGCAGUAUCUUUUGUAUUUUGACAGAAAAUGUUAAUAGAUGAACAGUCAUUUCAGAGAUAUGUUUUUGUUCUUCAAGAAGAAUUGACUGGCCAUCAACCUGCAGAUGUCCUUUCCUCGUGGCAGAUGACCUUCCCCUCUACGAGUAGAGUAGAAUUUUGUCACAGGAAUUGUAAUGGAAGGGUAUCCUGGUUGUUUUCUUCUUAAUUAUAUGUUGAUGGUGUAGCUAGAAUCUGUUAUGUGAAUUUUAAGGAUGUCAAGUUUAUGAUUGAGGGCCUAUUUCAGGUACUGUUGCCAUGGAUAGAGGAGCAGGUCAAUAUAUGACCUGGUUGGUUUUUCUGGAAACAUUUGUUGGCCUGCAAGGGGAGGUGUCGGCAGAUGGUCCUCUUAUCAAAUUGAACAAUGCAAAGAUGUUUUUAUUCCUGUGAUAUAUGUCUGUGUUAUUGAAUAAAUGUUGAUAAGAGUU
rnacentral:misc_RNA from 1 species